rnacentral:SRP_RNA from 1 species
GCUGGGCGUGGUGGCGGGCGCCUGUAGUCCCAGCUACUCGGGAGGCUGAGGCAGGAGAAUCGCUUGAACCCGGGAGGCAGAGGUUGCAGUGAGCUGAGAUCGCGCCACUGCACUCCAGCCUGGGCGACAGAGCGAGACUCUGUCUCAA